GAUGAACGCUGGCGGCGUGCCUAAUACAUGCAAGUCGAGCGAACAGAUAAGGAGCUUGCUCCUUUGACGUUAGCGGCGGACGGGUGAGUAACACGUGGGUAACCUACCUAUAAGACUGGGAUAACUUCGGGAAACCGGAGCUAAUACCGGAUAGCAUUUGGAACCGCAUGGUUCUAAAGUGAAAGAUGGUUUUGCUAUCACUUAUAGAUGGACCCGCGCCGUAUUAGCUAGUUGGUAAGGUAACGGCUUACCAAGGCGACGAUACGUAGCCGACCUGAGAGGGUGAUCGGCCACACUGGAACUGAGACACGGUCCAGACUCCUACGGGAGGCAGCAGUAGGGAAUCUUCCGCAAUAGGCGAAAGCCUGACGGAGCAACGCCGCGUGAGUGAUGAAGGGUUUCGGCUCGUAAAACUCUGUUAUUAGGGAAGAACAAAUGUGUAAGUAACUGUGCACGUCUUGACGGUACCUAAUCAGAAAGCCACGGCUAACUACGUG
rnacentral:rRNA from 1 species